rnacentral:rRNA from 1 species
AUUGAACGCUGGCGGCAGGCCUAACACAUGCAAGUCGAACGAGUGGCGGACGGGUGUGAAAUGUCUGGGACUCUGCCUGAUGCAGGGGGAUACUUACUGGAACCGGUAGCUAAUCCCGCAUACCAUCGGAUGUGCCCAGAUGGGCUUUGCUAGUAGGUGGGGUAAAGGCUGACCUAGGCGACGAUCCCUAGCUGGUCUGAGAGGAUGACCAGCCACACUGGACCUGGGACACGGUCCAGACUCCUGCGGGAGACGGCAGUGGGGAAUAUUGCACAAUGGGCGCAAGCCGGAUGCAGCCAUGCCGCGUGUAUGAAGAAGGCCUUCGGGUUGUAAGGUACUUUCAGCGGGGAGGCGUUACCCGCAGAAGAAGCGCCGGCUAACUCCGUGCCAGCAGCCGCGGUAAUAC